ACUCAAAUGAAUUGACGGGAGCCCGCACAAGCGGUGGAUUAUGUGGUUUAAUUCGAAGCAACGCGCAGAACCUUACCUAGGUUUGACAUCCUUUGACAACUGCAGAGAUGUAGCUUUCGUAGCAAUACGACAAAGAGACAGGUGCUGCAUGGCUGUCGUCAGCUCGUGUGGUGGCAUGUCGGGUUAAGUCCCUCAACGAGCGCAACCCCUGUUUUUAGUUGCCAGCAUUAAGUUGGGCACUCUAGAAAGACUGCCGUGGUUAACACGGAGGAAGGCGGGGAUGACGUCAAGUCCUCAUGGCCCUUACACCUAGGGCGACACACGUAAUACAAUGGUCGAUACAGAGGGACGCGAACCCGCAAGGGGGAGCAAAUCUCAAAAAGUCGAUCUCAGUUCGGAUUGGAGUCUGCAACUCGACUCCAUGAAGGCGGAAUCGCUAGUAAUCGCGGAUCAGCACGCCGCGGUGAAUACGUUCCCGGGCUUUGCACACACCGCCCGU
rnacentral:rRNA from 1 species